GUUACAAUGACAAACUUAUUGAUUGGUAAUUUGUUUAAAAAAAAUGUACACAAAAAAUAGAUGCUGGGUUGAAAUUAAACCUUACUUUGUGUUUUUUCAGCCAUAAACAGGAAAGACAUCAGCACAGUGUUCCUUGAGCAUUUCAUUGCACUUUGACAGACUCAAAAGAUGCCACGUGGAAAAGGUUUUCGGCGGUCCCAGGCAGCCAAGAGGCGUAUGGCUAAGCCAUAUUCACUCAGUCCUGCAGAUCAACUUGCUGACGAAAAUUCCAUGGUUUCCAAUUGUUCCAAUGACUUUCCAAAAAGUUCCAAAAGUUCCAAUGACUUUCCAAAAAGUUCCAAUGACUUUCCAAAAAGUUCCAAUGAGUUUCCAAAAAGUUCCAAUGACCUUCCAAAAAGUUCCAAAGACAAUUCCGUUCAUGUAACCAACUUUGCUAGUUUUUCAGAUCAAGUUCUAAAAGGCUCCUUUCAUCAGGGUGAUGAACGAUUUGGGUACAACAGGAACCGGCAGUGUGGAGUCAACAGUCUGACAGCAGUGAUGAUGAGUAAACUGAAGAAUGUGCUGACAUGGACCACAGAUGACCUGAAUACUGUGUUGGUUAAAGGAGACGAAAUGUAUACAUGUAUGCGCUUACAGGGAAAAAUUAAUGAUUCAACAGGUCGUGGAUAUGUUUCCAUUGCAGAAUUGCCAAAAAUGCAUACACUGUACAGUACAAAGUUCAAAAUAAACUACAAUGAGUCAUACA